rnacentral:rRNA from 1 species
UACGUAGGAUGCAAGCGUUGUCCGGAAUUAUUGGGCGUAAAGCGUACGUAGGCGGUUUGUUAAGUCAGGGGUUAAAGACUGAGGCUCAACCUCAGGAGUGCCCUUGAUACUGGCAGGCUGGAGGACGGCAGAGGAAAGUGGAAUUCCCAGUGUAGCGGUGAAAUGCGUAGAUAUUGGGAGGAACACCAGUGGCGAAAGCGACUUUCUGGGCCGUUCCUGACGCUGAGGUACGAAAGCGUGGGGAGCAAAC